ACCAAUUCUAAGUAUGGGACACCACACAUCACAUCCUUUCCUUUUCUCCUUUGAAUUUGAGAAGUUAUGACAAGCAAUAAGAACUACUUUUUUAAUUUAGGCAAUUGUUAAGCUAGGAUACAAGAAAACAUAAAAAAAAUAAAAAUAAAUCUCACACACACACACACACACGCACACCCACACACACAUAAACACACAUCACUGCUUCAAAUCAUUCUUUUGAGUCAAUUCUUUGCAAUUCAUAUUUUGAACUGAUCACAAACUGGUCUGAAUCCAAUUUUCAAACUGAACCACACUACAUCAAUGUAAGCCGUUCUCCAUUCACAUUGUGUCCUGAUUCUCUGCUUAUUAAAUUAUUUUGGAGAUUUCAGUGUAGACGAAGGCUUCUAUUAAUCAUGAUGUUGCACAACUUGCAUCUGAUGAUUUUAAAAAUAAAGAAACCUCUAGCUAAUAAAACAGUUGGCGUCUCAUGGAUUUAUUUUGGUACUCGUGCACUUUGACUGGUUAAACACACUCAUCAAGUGUGAACCAAAAUGGACUGAGUGUGAAGAGCUCAUCUUGUUUAGUGUGAUGUGCACAACUGCUUUUAAACCACCUAUAUUAUUAUUAGAUUAGAACAUUUAUAUUGCAAGAAAGGCGUUAGUGGGGCGUUAGUGGGACAUUUCCAAGAAACAGAUCGUAUUUUCACACCUGCCUCAUUUAAUGCAAUCAACCCAAUAAAUAGCCCAGCGAGCAUCUCAGACGUGACUUUCUGAACAGCUGAGACGCUACGAGACUUUUACAGAAUCUCAAGAACAGCAGUGAAAGGAUGAGAUCUGCAGUUCCUUUCUCACUCCUCUUCUUUCUGGCUCUCAGCGCUGGAGCGAAUCACCAGAACAAUGACCGAUAUGCUGAAUUCAAGAAAAAACACAUUCUCCCGGCUGAUUUUCAAACAGAUAGUGAAGCUGCUUGGUGGAACCACCUAGUGAACAAUUGUCUCUGUGGUAGAACUGAAGUGCAGUCCUUUAUCAAGGACACUGAAGAAAAGAUUAAAAAAAUCUGUGAUGGCGCUGGUAAAAAAACAAAGGAUAACUAUGUCAAAAGUACAAAGCUUUUCCAAGUGUACAAAAUUGAAAGCAAAAAUGAAACAUCAGACAUGUCUUGGAAGUGCAUCAUUGAAAAAUGUCAUACAGCCAAAUAUUAUGUAAUUGUUCAAUGUGAGGACAAACUACCUGUGCACUAUCAUGAUCAACACGCUGAAAACAAACAUAAAGACAUUUGCUAUUUUACAACGAUUUAAUUUCAUAAUGGUGUUUGUGAAAGACUAAAUGAUGACUGAAAUGUUGUUUUAACCAUUCAUUGAAUGUUAUGUUUAAAUGAUAUCAUUCCAAAAAGCUUUUUUU